rnacentral:lncRNA from 1 species
CAUUUAUCAUGAAUUUACAAUCGUAAAGAUAGAAAUGGCUAAACACGGUAUGUUUUAUUUACUAAUAAUAUUGAUAAUUGGAACAAUUAUCUGUUAUGUUAUUCUUGAAUUUGAUAGCUUUAUUAGUGAUAAUGAAAAAGCAUGGUAUCCAACUCUUGAUGAUAUCUUAUAUCUAGAUCUAGAAUUGUGUCGCAAAAGAUGCGACCAAACCUAUAAUAGAUUCUCAUCAUCCAAAUCAAAACAUAGAUGGAAAAGAUGCAUACAAUUGUGCAAAAAGUUGAACGAAGAUAUAGAAAAUAUGUGGGGGACGAAGGAAUAGAUAGAAAAAAGUGCACCUAGCUAGCUUACUACUUUACUAAUGGUAAGUAUUUAAUAUAUUUGAUUUUUUAUUUUUGUGAGUUUGUUUUUUUAAUUUAUCAUCAAAUAUAGUACUUUAUUAAUGAUAUGUAUUUAAUAUAUUUUCUGAAAUUUUUGUAAUGAGAAAUACUAGCGUGUAAUUUGGUUAAGGUGGUAACUGAUAUGAAUUUUUUUUGGAUAGUACUCUAAGAUUCUAAUCUUGGUAUAAAAAAAAUUAGUCAUUGGGAGAACCUCUACUUUCCUUACAGGAUUUCAAUUAAGUAGAAUUUCUAAUAAUAAGAUCUAAAUUAUAUUAUAUUAGUUCAUUUAGGAAAUUUUUUAAUGAGAUAUAUGAGAUAAAAAAGAAUUAUGAAAAACACACUUAAAAUAUUCAUGUCUCAUCUUAAGUUUUUGGAAAAAGUAAUAUCAUAACAUAGUAUUAGAAUUUCUUUGACCUCAUCUUAUGAAUUUAAACUUUUAGAAGAAGUAGUAUCAUAACAAAAACGUACUAAAUGAAUUAUUAUUGUCAUGAUAUCACUUCUUCCAAAAACUUAAAUUGAUAAUAAAAUGUUACAUGAAUAGUUAUAUCUCUGACUCUCUGAUUGCUACAACAAUUUUUUUUGGAUAUAAUCAUACAUGCUUGUUUUGAAUUAGUCUAUUAAAUUAUGAUUCUAGGUUCUAGCUAAGCAAGAGCUGAGAGGUGCAUUAUGAUUCAGGGAUAAUAUGUUGCUAAUUAUAUUUGUUUUGAUGACAACAAUUUAUAUAGUUUGAAGUUAAUUUUCAUGUAUUCCUUACAGGGACUUGUAUAUGAAUGUGAGGGUAAGAUAGUUGGGUGAUGCAACAAAGUUAAAUGAUAGGAAUUUGGUUAAAGUGGAAGUUUAUGAUUUAUGACCAUUAUAAUCAAAUUCUUUGUAGUGCUCAUGUACUAUGACAAUUGUAAUAAGUUCUUUAUGUAUUAAUUAUAGAUUUUUUUCUUCUAUUUUCUUUAGUUUUUUCUUGUCACAUGCUAAUUUAUAUUGUUGCUCUACAAGUUUUGAUAUAAACUAUCAAAAAGAAAUAAAAG